rnacentral:rRNA from 1 species
GACGAACGCUGGCGGCCUGCUUAACACAUGCAAGUCGAGCGAGGCCCCUCCUUCGGGAGGGUGUCCUAGCGGCGAACGGGUGAGUAACACGUGGGCAACCUGCCCUCAGCUCUGGGAUAACUCCGGGAAACCGGGGCUAAUACCGGAUACGACCUCCACGGGCAUCUGCGGAGGUGGAAAGUUUUUCGGCUGAGGAUGGGCCCGCGGCCUAUCAGCUAGUUGGUGGGGUAGUGGCCCACCAAGGCGACGACGGGUAGCCGGCCUGAGAGGGCGACCGGCCACACUGGGACUGAGACACGGCCCAGACUCCUACGGGAGGCAGCAGUGGGGAAUAUUGCGCAAUGGGCGAAAGCCUGACGCAGCGACGCCGCGUGAGGGACGAAGGCCUUCGGGUUGUAAACCUCUUUCAGCAGGGACGAAGCGAAAGUGACGGUACCUGCAGAAGAAGCACCGGCCAACUACGUG